GUGGGUCGCGACCAGGAGGCAAGAACAAGGGGAGACCCUAAUCUCAUCAAUUAACAUCAAAAUUCAGCAAGAUUGUGAAGGAUUCUAGUCAUAAAUCGAAUGUUUGUGCUUAACUAUUGUCUAAUCCAAGAGUUUUGAGCAUAAGGAUCGAAAGAAGAAGGAGCUAGUUCCGGAUCACAAACAAAGGCACAAGAUCGAGGAUCGAAAGAAGAAGGAGCUAGUUCCGGAUCACAAACAAAGGCACAAGAUCGAGGUAAGUUCGUUACUUACAUGUUUAGUUGUGAGUUUAUUAAUUUGUCCCUUUGAUAAUUGAUUUUCAAAUUAAAGUCAUUGUUUC